GACGAACCGUGCGAACGUUGUUCGGAUUCACUGGGCUUAAAGGGCGCGUAGGCGGGCCGCCAAGUCUGUGGUGAAAGCCCCCGGCUUAACCGGGGAAGUGCCGCGGAUACUGGCGGUCUCGAGGGGUGCAGGGGCAUGUGGAACUUCCGGUGGAGCGGUGAAAUGCGUAGAUAUCGGAAGGAACGCCGGUGGCGAAAGCGACGUGCUGGACACCUACUGACGCUGAGGCGCGAAAGCCAGGGGAGCAAACGGG
rnacentral:rRNA from 1 species